UUUGAAAACUGUCAAUCAAUUCGGUGUUUGUGACAUUUUCAAGUUCGAUUCUCUCUUUCAAACUUGAAUUCUCUUACUGGAAGUUGCAUUUCAAGGGUGAGUUCCUCUUAAUAGUUAUUUAUUUUUUGUGAUUAGUUUUUUAAUUUAAAUAUUUUGUAUAUGUGUUUUAGGUUUUACAAGGGGUUUGUGUGUAGUUUUUUUUUUUCAUUUUUCCCCAAAUGUAUGUGUUUUAUUCUUAUUUUUGAUGGGUAUGUGUUUUGGGUGUUUUUGGUGGGUUUUUAUUUUCUAUAUUUGUAUUUUUGUUUGAAAUUUAUUUGUUUUUUUUUUCUAAUUUCAGUGUUCGAAAAUGAGUAGUGACAGUGGCAAUGUUGAUGAUCGAUUUGCUGAUUAUUAUAUUCACCCAAAUAGGUGGCCACGUAUUACUGCUACGUGUCGAGGGGAUGAGAGUUAUCUUAAGACCGUUGAGGAUUUUUUAUCAGUACGACAAUUGACCAUGUUGGAAAAACAUCCUUUUGGGAAUGUAAUGAAGUUGAAUAAUCUGAAGUUGUCUGGAGUCCUCUUGACAGGUGUUUUGUUGUCCAAAGUUCGGAGAACGGGGGACAACACGUAUUUUAACUUCAAUGGAAAAGUUGCAAAAUUUACAGAAAAACAGUUUAAGAAAAUCACUGGUCUUUGAAUUAAACCUCCUCGUAGUUCUUUUACUGAAAAAUAUAGAACAACGAAUGGAAGUUCUUUAUUGAGAAAGUAUUUUGAAAUCCCGGAUGGUAAAAAGAGUUUGAAAAUGACCGAGUUAAAGGCUUUCAUGAAAGACUCUAAAAGUUUAAUUGAAACUGACAUUGAUGCUAUCAUGUUAGCUGAGGUGUAUAUACUAGGACGUGUAUUAUUAGGUGGUAGACACGAUAAGACUGUAAAGUGGGACCAUAUUGUAUAUAUAGAGCAUAUUGAGUUAUUUGAGCAGUUUAAUUGGGGCCAUGAGUGUUAUAAUGAUCUUAUCAAUUCACUCAGAAGUAUUUUCAAAAAAGGUGAAGAAAUAAAGACCAUAAAUUAUCAUUUUGUUGGCUUUAUCCAUGCUUUUAUGGUUUGGAUUUGCUCUAAAUGGACCGUUUAUCACAAAAAAUAUUGUGAUGUUGUUGGCAUAGUUGAAGAGCCUACUAUGCUGUCAUACACGCGCAAAAAGAAUCAAAAAGAGCGUGCUCCACAAUUUAAUGGAGUAAAGGAGUUGCUUAUCGGUGAAAAGUACUAUGCAAAGGUAAUGGUUCUUUUAAUUUUCUUUUAUGUCAUAUUUGGUUCUUAUUUUAUUGUUCUCUCUCUCUCUCUUUUUUUUUUUUUUUUAAUAGAGUCAUGAAAGAGUUAUUGGUGAAGAGCAUAAUAAUGAUCAUGAAAAUGACAAUCAAAGCUUUUCGCUGGAGAAUCAGAGUGAUGAAAGAGAUAUUGAUGAAGGGAAUGAUGAUUUUGAUUAAAAUAGUGAUGAAAGAGAUAUUGAUGAAGGGAAUAAUACUAUUGAUGAAAAUGACAAUCGAAGCUCUUCUCUAGAGCAUCGUGCUGAGUUUUUAGAGAAGACUUUGGAUGGAAAAUUGGAUGAGCUUUUGUCUAAUCAGGAGAAGGAGAAGAAACGUAUGGAUAAACUGGUUGCUGCUCUUCUAAAAUCAGGUUUAAAAUUUGAAUCGGGAAGUACUGCCAGUCCUGAUGAUGUUUCUCAGCAUUCCGAUUAUUUAAUAGUGUUGUCAUAUGUUGAAAAGCAUAGAGAGAGCACAAAAAGACCUGUCACUCGACAUCUCGAUGUCCAAAAGAAAAAUAAACGAGGCGUUUCUCAUAAAAAUGUGGAGGGAUUGUCUGUUAGGCUACAACGAAGAUCAUCGCACUCAGAUAUGGGUCAACAGACUGUUGAGUUUGAAUAGUCAUCUGAUCCACGUUUUGGCGUUAUGAGUCUUGUGGAUUGGACGGGAUAUGUUGCUAAGGGUACGCAACAAAUUGAACAAAGUAAUGUCGGUUCUGAAAGAGUAGCUACUUCUAUUAUAGCAUAUAAGAGAACACGUUUGAAAAGGCACACCAUUCUCCCUCUCAUAGUUUUGCCCUAAAGGAACAAAAUGAAGAAGAUUGUUUUUCUAAAACAGGGGUUGAUUCUUCUAUCCUAGUUAUUGGAGACGAAACAAGAGAACAUAUUGAUCAGUUGUUGUUGGAUCCUGAUCAAACACCUUCUAUUCCAAAUGAUACAAUAUUAUCAUCUCAACAAGUUGAUUAAUUGAUGCCAGAUCCAACUCUACAAAAAGGAUCACAACAUAUUGAAUCUUUUGUUGGAGAAAAAAAGAGCAGAAGUGAGCGAUUCAGUGGUGUCAGAAUCUAUUCAAACAACUACCAAG